rnacentral:rRNA from 1 species
GACGAACGCUGGCGGCGUGCUUAACACAUGCAAGUCGAACGGAAAGGCCCUUCGGGGUACUCGAGUGGCGAACGGGUGAGUAACACGUGGGUGAUCUGCCCUGCACUUUGGGAUAAGCCUGGGAAACUGGGUCUAAUACCGAAUAGGACCACGCGCUUCAUGGUGUGUGGUGGAAAGCUUUUGCGGUGUGGGAUGGGCCCGCGGCCUAUCAGCUUGUUGGUGGGGUAAUGGCCUACCAAGGCGACGACGGGUAGCCGGCCUGAGAGGGUGACCGGCCACACUGGGACUGAGAUACGGCCCAGACUCCUACGGGAGGCAGCAGUGGAGAAUAUUGCACAAUGGGCGCCAGCCUGAUGCAGCGACGCCGCGUGAGGGAUGACGGCCUUCGGGUUGUAAACCUCUUUCAAUAGGGACGAAGCGCAAGUGACGGUACCUAUAGAAGAAGCACCGGCCAACUACGUG